ensembl:lncRNA
UUUUUUUUUUCCACUUUUGGAGCCCAUUAGUGAGCAGCCAGUGGUGGAGACAGGAAGCAGCUGUUCUGUAAAGGUCAUAUUGGUGGGCUACAUACAUUUCCUUUUGCAGAAUAUUGGUGGAAUAAUUUAAAGACCCUGAGACACCCAAAUGGCGAUACCAUGGCCAAACAAUCAGGGACAUUUUCAGUACUGCACACCUUCUAUGCUCUUGGAAAGCUAUGCCCCAUCUACCUUGCAGACUAGGCCUUCAGUUCAAGUGGGAGUAGACUAAGGUGUGGCAGAUGAGAGGGCUAACGGUACCUAGCAGAAACACUGGAUAUCCACUGCUUCCAACCAAGCCAGUGACUUGAGAGCUUCCCAACAACAAUAUUGAUUCUUCUAGGUUGCUGAACUUCUGCAGUCAAAUUCAUAGCUCACCCAUCCAGCCCAGAGGAUUGAUGUCUUCACAGCAACUAGCUCAUUUUGAGCAAAGUUCCUUGAGGGAUUUUUAUUAUUGUUGUUUUUUACAACUGUCUGUCCUAGAAUAUAUAAAAGCUAAGAUAAUUAAUGGGUAUCCCUGCAAAGGCACAUGUUCCUGGAAAUCCUCUUCUACCUUCAUGAAUUCCAUUGCUCACUGUAGGUUUUGCCUUAGGAAUGGAAACUAGCAAUGAAAAUCACAACCAAAAUACCACUUUUCUGGUAUACCAACACACUCUUGAAGGUCUUGCUCAAGGCACUAUUAAUCUUGUUCUUAUAAAUGAUGUGCAUGUUGGCAUCAUGGACACAUUGACUUUCUUGAAGUCUUCAGUGUCCAAUCACAGAACUUUUCUCCACUUACGUGCAAAACCAUUUUGAUUCCACACAGUCUAGUACUACCAGUUUGCUAGUGAUUAUUCAUCCCUAAUUUCUGUGUCAAAAUCUCCAAGAGAAGAAAAAUUCUGGAAGGAAUAGGAAAAAUACUGCGUUAGAAGCUCUAACAAAGCAGAUAUAGAGCAAGAGGAAGAAGUGAAGAAGGUGAAGUAUUGGAAUAGACUGCCCAGGGAGGUGAUGGAAUCCCUGUCUCUGGAGGCAUUCAGGAAAUGUGGAGAUAUGACACUGAGGGACGUGGUUCGGUGGGG